GAUCAUGGCUCAGGAUGAACGCUAGCGAUAGGCCUAACACAUGCAAGUCGAGGGGCAGCACAUGAGUAGCAAUACGAUGGUGGCGACCGGCGCACGGGUGAGUAACACGUAUGCAACCUACCUUUAACAGGGGAAUAACCCGUUGAAAAACGGACUAAUACUCCAUGACACAGGGGUCCCGCAUGGGAAUAUUUGUUAAAGAUUUAUCGGUUGAAGAUGGGCAUGCGUUCCAUUAGCUUGUUGGUGAGGUAACGGCUCACCAAGGCCACGAUGGAUAGGGGAACUGAGAGGUUUAUCCCCCACACUGGAACUGAGACACGGUCCAGACUCCUACGGGAGGCAGCAGUGAGGAAUAUUGGUCAAUGGAGGCAACUCUGAACCAGCCAAGUCGCGUGAAGGAUGAAGGUCUUAUGGAUUGUAAACUUCUUUUGCAAGGGAAUAAAGUGGGGGACGUGUCCUCCUUUGCAUGUACCUUGCGAAUAAGGAUCGGCUAACUCCGUGCCAGCCGCCGC
rnacentral:rRNA from 1 species